UACAACGGGAUACCCGAGGGAAACUUCGGUUAAUACGGUAUAAGACCACACUACCGCAUGGUAGAGGGGUAAAAGGGGCAACCUGGUAUGAGAUGGACUCGCGUCGCAUUAGCUAGUUGGUGAGGUAACGGCCCACCAAGGCGACGAUGCGUAGCCGACCUGAGAGGGUGAUCGGCCACAUUGGGACUGAGAUACGGCCCAGACUCCUACGGGAGGCAGCAGUGGGGAAUAUUGGGCAAUGGAGGAAACUCUGACCCAGCAAUGCCGCGUGAAUGAAGAAGGUCUUCGGAUUGUAAAGUUCUUUAGUCAGGGAAGAAGUCAAUGACGGUACCUGAAGAAUAAGCUCCGGCUAACUACGUGCCAGCAGCCGCGGUAAUACGUAGGGAGCAAGCGUUGUUCGGAAUGACUGGGCGUAAAGGGUGCGUAGGCGGUUGUACAAGUUAGAAGUGAAAUACCCAGGGCUUAACUCAGGUGCUGCUUCUAAAACUGUAUGACUUGAGUGCAGUAGAGGUUAGUGGAAUUCCUAGUGUAGCGGUGGAAUGCGUAGAUAUUAGGAGGAACACCAGAGGCGAAGGCGGCUAACUGGACUGCAACUGACGCUGAGGCACGAAAGUGUGGGGAGCAAACAGGAUUAGAUACCCUGGUAGUCCACACUGUAAACGAUGGAUACUAGAUGUAGGAGGUAUCGACUCCUUCUGCGUCGCAG
rnacentral:rRNA from 1 species